AUACGUAGGUGACAAGCGUUAUCCGGAAUGACUGGGCGUAAAGGGCGUGUAGGCGGUUGUUUAAGUCUGGCGUGAAAGUCCUCGUUUCAAGGUGGGAAUUGCUUUGGAAACUGGAUGAAUUGGGUGCGGAAGGGGGAAGGGGAAUUCCCAGUGGAGGGGUGAAAGGCGUAGAGAUUGGGAGGAACACCAGUGGCGAAGGCGACUUACUGGGCCGUAACUGACGCUGAGGCGCGAAAGCGUGGGGAGCGAACAGGAUUAGAUACCCUGGUAGUCCACGCGGUAAACGAUGAAUGCUAGGUGUUGCGGGUAUCGACCCCUACAGUGCCGGAGUAAACACAAUAAGCAUUCCGCCUGGGGAGUACGGCCGCAAGGUUGAAACUCAAAUGAAUGGACGGGG
rnacentral:rRNA from 1 species